UAUUUUUUUUUUUUUUUUUUUUUCUUCUUUUAACUGCUCGCAAUUGUCACCUAAGUUUCAUACGCUGAUCGAGAGGAAUGAGCUUUUAAUUACGCAUGCUUAUUAGCGAGUGAACGACUACUUACUGAUUCUACAUUAUUACCGAGUGAACGACUACUUACACAAGAAAUCGAUUAUCAUGAUAAGGUCUUAUUGAUCUAAAUUUCUAAGUAAUUCGCCAUGAAUCCAAGGAGCAAAAUUUCAAUGAGCGCGUCUAUUGUCAACAUGACUUCCCAUGUCACUACCAGCUUAACGACGGAUUUAUUUCCUUCAGAAAUUCCAAAAAAACCACUGGCUGCUCCUGCUGCUGGAUUCCAUCAUACGGUCAACGUAACGAAAAAGGAAAAAAAUGCUGGGCGUCGUUCAAGUGAGAAGAACCAAACUAUAUUCGAUUGAAAACAAAAUUACAAAAUAUAAACUCUUUAUCAGACACACAGACGAGACCUCAACACGCAUUAUAAGACACCAAAAGACUAGCGUUUAGUCGACUAUUCCCAUACGCAAUUGACAUGCACCCCUUCAUCCACAUGGACAAAUCUUUAGUCGACUUCCUCCAUCUUGCUCUCCUCAGCACCAUCUUCCUCCAAAGCAGGCAUAUCAGCAUCAUCGCCGGCAGUCUCAUCAUCGUCAAUGCUCAGACCCAGUUUCAACAUCCUGUGAAUCCUAGCAGAAAAGGUGUUUGGAUCAUCGAGGCUGAAGCCAGAGGUCAGGAGAGCAGUCUCAAACAAUAGUAACACAAGAUCCUUGACAGAUUUGUCAUUCUUGUCAGCUUCUGCCCUCUUCCUUAACUCCUCCACGAUAACAUUAUCAGGAUUGAUCUCCAUAGUCUUCUUGCUGGACAUGUAUGAGCUCAUGCUGCUGUCUCUCAAUGCCUGAGCCUUCAUGAUCCUUUCCAUGUUAGCAGUCCAGCCAUAUUCUCCCGUCACCAAACAGCAUGGGGAGUCCACAAUCCUGUCAGAGACCACCACCUUCUCAACCUUGUCCCCCAAAAUGUCCUUGAUUGUCUUGCAGAGGUUCUCGAAGGACUUCUUCUUCUCCUCUUUUUUCUUCUUCUCUUCCUCGGUCUCAUCAUCAAGCUUCAAUCCUUCCUUUGUAGCAGAAACCAGCUUCUUUCCAUCAUAUUCCUUGAGCUGCCCGACAGCGUACUCAUCAAUGGCAUCCACCAUGAAAAGAACCUCAUAGCCUUUCUUCUUGAGCCGCUCUAGGAAUGGUGAAUUCUCAACUGCCUUCUUGCUCUCACCAGUAAUAUAGUAGAUAUCCUUCUGGCCCUCCUUCAUCCUGGUAACAUAAUCCUUCAAGCUUGUCAUCUCGUCACCGCUCUUGGUUGAGUGGUAUCGGAGCAGAUCAGCCAAUUUGGCUCUGUUCUGGCUGUCCUCAUGAAUACCCAAUUUCAAAUUCUUCGAGAAAGCUUCGUAGAACUUGUUGUAGUCUUCCUUAUUCUCAGCAAUCUCAUUGAACAUCUCAAUGCAUUUCUUCACAAGGUUCUUCCUAAUAACCUUGAGAAUUUUGUUCUGUUGAAGCAUCUCACGAGAAAUGUUAAGAGGCAGAUCAUCAGAAUCAACAACACCUUUGACAAAGCCAAGGUACUCGGGGAUUAGCUCCUCACAGUUGUCCAUGAUGAAGACCCUCCUAACAUAAAGCUUGAUAUUGCUCAUUUUCUUGCGGGUGUCAAAAAGAUCAAACGGAGCCCUCUUUGGAACAAACAGGAUAGCCUUGAAUUCAAGCUGACCCUCGACAGAGAAAUGCUUGACAGCAAGGUGGUCCUCCCAGUCGUUGGUCAAGCUCUUAUAGAAAGAUGCAUAUUCCUCCUUGGUGAUCUCCUCCGGCUUGCGCAGCCAGAUGGGUUUUUGCUUGUUGAUGAGCUGCCACUCGUGAGAAACCUCCUUGAUCUUCUUCUUCUUUGAUUUGGUCUCCUUCUCCUCAUCAACAUCCUCAACAUCCCCCUCCUCUUCCUUCUUGGGUUCAUCGUCUUCAUCAUCACUGAUCUCUUUCUCGGUUGUUUUCUCUGUCCAUAGGUAGAUAGGGUAACUAAUGAACUCAGAGUGCUUCUUCACAAGGUCCUUAAUCCUCCUCUCUUCCAAGUACUCGAGCUGGUCCUCCUUAAGGAAAAGUGUAAUUUUGGUACCCCUGCCAAGUUGGUCCCCGUUGACAUCCCUUGUGACGGUGAAAGAACCACCAGCUUGUGAUUCCCAGAUGUACUGUUCAUCGUCAUUAUGUUUUGUGGUCACAAUGACCUUCUCCGCCACCAGAUAAGCGGAGUAGAAACCAACGCCAAAUUGACCGAUCAUGCUCACAUCCGCACCAGCCUGCAAUGCCUCCAUAAAUUCCUUGGUGCCGGAUCUUGCAAUGGUACCCAAAUUGUUCACCAAAUCUGCUUUGGUCAUUCCGAUACCACUGUCAAUAAUUGAGAGGGUCUUAUUGGCCUUGUCAGGAACAAGCCUAAUGAAAAGCUCUGGUUGGGCAUCGAGCUUGCUCUUAUCCGUCAAGCUCUCAAAUCUUAUUUUGUCCAAUGCAUCAGAGGCGUUGCUGAUGAUCUCACGAAGGAAAAUCUCCUUGUUGCUGUAGAAAGUAUUGAUGAUCAAGCUCAAAAGCUGGUUAAUCUCAGCCUGGAAGGCGAAGGUCUCAGCAUCAGCCAUCUGCACGUCCGCCCUCCUCAACACUACUCCACACCAACACACAAGCCUCGACACAGGCGCAAGAGAAUGCGAGAGCGCAAGAGAAAACACACGAAAGAGGAGAUAUUGCUUUGUUAGAUGACCUAGGAAAUUUUCAAGUUGAUUACACACGCAAUACUUGUAGGGUAUAUAUACUGGAAAGUUGCAAGGGUUCUAGUCUCUUCUUCUCCGAUGGGUCAGCGUGAGAGAGGGACAAGAGACGAGUUCUGGAUUCUUCCAUGAAACGAAGCACACGAGAUAAUUGUUGUUUUUGGGUUGAAACGGUGGCGCUUUUUG
rnacentral:misc_RNA from 1 species